AGUGGCGGACGGGUGAGUAACGCGUGAGAAUCUGCCUUGGGGUCGGGGACAACCACUGGAAACGGUGGCUAAUACCGGAUAAGCCGAUUGGUGAAAGAUUUAUUGCCCGAAGAGGAGCUCGCGUCUGAUUAGCUAGUUGGUGAGGUAAGAGCUCACCAAGGCAGCGAUCAGUAGCUGGUCUGAGAGGACGAUCAGCCACACUGGGACUGAGACACGGCCCAGACUCCUACGGGAGGCAGCAGUGGGGAAUUUUCCGCAAUGGGCGAAAGCCUGACGGAGCAAGACCGCGUGAGGGAGGAAGGCUCUUGGGUUGUAAACCUCUUUUCUCAGGGAAGAAGCUCUGACGGUACCUGAGGAAUCAGCCUCGGCUAACUCCGUGCCAGCAGCCGCGGUAAUACGGAGGAGGCAAGCCUUAUCCGGAAUUAUUGGGCGUAAAGCGUCCGCAGGUGGCGAUUCAAGUCUGCUGUCAAAGCACGGGGCUUAACUCCGUAAAGGCAGUGGAAACUGAAUAGCUAGAGUGCCGUAGGGGUAGAGGGAAUUCCCGGUGUAGCGGUGAAAUGCGUAGAGAUCGGGAAGAACAUCGGUGGCGAAAGCGCUCUACUGGACGGCAACUGACACUCAGGGACGAAAGCUAGGGGAGCGAAUGGGAUUAGAUACCCC
rnacentral:rRNA from 1 species